rnacentral:rRNA from 1 species
GACGAACGCUGGCGGCGUGCUUAACACAUGCAAGUCGAACGGAAAGGCCCUGCUUUUGUGGGUUGCUCGAGUGGCGAACGGGUGAGUAACACGUGAGUAACCUGCCCUUGACUUUGGGAUAACUUCAGGAAACUGGGGCUAAUACCGGAUAGGAGCUCCUGCUGCAUGGUGGGGGUUGGAAAGUUUCGGCGGUUGGGGAUGGACUCGCGGCUUAUCAGCUUGUUGGUGGGGUAGUGGCUUACCAAGGCUUUGACGGGUAGCCGGCCUGAGAGGGUGACCGGCCACAUUGGGACUGAGAUACGGCCCAGACUCCUACGGGAGGCAGCAGUGGGGAAUAUUGCACAAUGGGCGGAAGCCUGAUGCAGCAACGCCGCGUGCGGGAUGCCGGCUUUCGGGUUGUAAACCGCUUUCGCCUGUGACGAAGCGUGAGUGACGGUAAUGGGUAAAGAAGCACCGGCUAACUACGUG